rnacentral:rRNA from 1 species
GUGGGGAAUCUUGCGCAAUGGGCGAAAGCCUGACGCAGCCAUGCCGCGUGAAUGAUGAAGGUCUUAGGAUUGUAAAAUUCUUUCACCGGGGACGAUAAUGACGGUACCCGGAGAAGAAGCUCCGGCUAACUUCGUGCCAGCAGCCGCGGUAAUACGAAGGGGGCUAGCGUUGCUCGGAAUUACUGGGCGUAAAGGGCGCGUAGGCGGACAGCUUAGUCAGAGGUGAAAGCCCAGGGCUCAACCUUGGAAUUGCCUUUGAUACUGGCUGUCUUGAGUUUGGGAGAGGUGAGUGGAACUCCGAGUGUAGAGGUGAAAUUCGUAGAUAUUCGGAAGAACACCAGUGGCGAAGGCGACUCACUGGCCCAAUACUGACGCUGAGGCACGAAAGCGUGGGGAGCAAACAGGAUUAGAUACCCGGGUAGUCC